UACGGAGGAUGCGAGCGUUAUCCGGAUUUAUUGGGUUUAAAGGGUGCGUAGGCGGGCUUUUAAGCCAGCGGUAAAAAUUCGGGGCUCAACCCCGUCCGGCCGUUGAAACUGGGGGUCUUGAGUGGGCGAGAAGAAGGCGGAAUGCGUGGUGUAGCGGUGAAAUGCAUAGAUAUCACGCAGAACCCCGAUUGCGAAGGCAGCCUUCCGGCGCCCUACUGACGCUGAGGCACGAAAGUGCGGGGAUCGAACAGG
rnacentral:rRNA from 1 species